GUUGAUUGGAGAGAGAGAGAGACAGAAGCCGAAGAGAGAGAGAGAGAUGGAGGUGGAAGGAUCGUCGAAGAAGAUGAUAGCGACGCAGGAGGAGAUGGUGGAGGCGAGGGUCCCGUUGGCGUACCGAGACCAGUGCGCGCACCUGCUGAUCCCGCUCAACAAGUGCCGGCAGGCCGAGUACUACCUGCCGUGGAAGUGCGAGGUGGAGCGACACUCGUACGAGAAAUGCGAGUACGAGCUUGUCAUGGAGAGGAUGCUCAAGAUGCAGAAGAUCCGCGAAGAGGAGGCCAAGCUCAAACAGGGCUUCAAGCAGCCGGCCCUUCCUCUCAUCCCCAAACCGGCCAAUGCUUAGCUCCUCCUCCUUUCUUUCUUCUUCUCCUCAAAGGGGAUCACCUCUUGUCAGUGUUUGCCGUCCAAACGUCACGAGCUUCUAUGAGUGUGUUCAAUCUCAGCCAACAUUUGUAAAAGGGAGGAUUCUCUUUUGCUGGGCUUCUUCUUUGGUUUGUGUUUUGGAAUGACACUUCGGAAACUUUAAGGGAGCUCGAGCGUGGGUGCUUUUGGUGAAAAAGUUGCUUCGUUUAUCUGCUCAUUGUUCAUUGAGACUUGUAUGCAUGAGCAUAAUUGCAAGGAAUAUUGGUACCUUCAUCCUCUCUUACUUUUGCUACUUUUGUCUUGAGUCAUAGAAUAAAUGGAAUAUCAAUUGUGAUGUACAUUGUGAACUGGUUGGAGUCCUCUCUUUGGGUUAACAUUUUGUCUUUCUAGACCCCCAUGAGAAUAAUAUCUCUCCGAUUAGGUGACAAUGGUAUUUCACAAAAGA